rnacentral:rRNA from 1 species
UACAGAGGUCCCAAGCGUUGUUCGGAUUCAUUGGGCGUAAAGGGUGCGUAGGCGGCGCGGUAAGUCGGGUGUGAAAUCUCGAAGCUUAACUCCGAAACUGCAUUCGAUACUGCCGUGCUUGAGGACUGGAGAGGAGACUGGAAUUUACGGUGUAGCGGUGAAAUGCGUAGAUAUCGUAAGGAAGACCAGUGGCGAAGGCGGGUCUCUGGACAGUUCCUGACGCUGAGGCACGAAGGCCAGGGGAGCAAACGGG